rfam:Brassica oleracea var. oleracea cultivar TO1000 chromosome C5, whole genome shotgun sequence
AAUCCAUGGUGAGGGCAUUCUCUGCAGUAGUCAUUAUAACGCUCCCAUGCGUCGCAAAAAAGCUCAUUAGUGAGCUGUCUGAAAGAGGUGAUCAUGUUCCUCAAUGC